UUGGAGGGCAAGUCUGGUGCCCGCAGCCGCGGUAAUUCCAGCUCCAAUAGCGUAUAUUAAAGUUGUUGCAGUUAAAAAGCUCGUAGUUGAAUCUCGGGAUCAGAUUGUCGGUCGUGCCUCGGUACGCACUGGCAUUAUUGGUUCCUACCUUCUGAAGAACCGCGAUGUCAUUAAUUUGGUGUCGUGGGGAUCAGGACUGUUACUUUGAAAAAAUUAGAGUGUUUAAAGCAGGCUUACGCUUGAAUACAUUAGCAUGGAAUAAUGAAAUAGGACGUUUGAUUCUAUUUUGUUGGUUUCUAGGAUUGACGUAAUGAUUAAUAGGGAUAGUUGGGGGCAUUAGUAUUCAAUUGUCAGAGGUGAAAUUCUUGGAUUUAUUGAAGACUAACUACUGCGAAAGCAUUCGCCAAGGAUGUUUUCAUUAAUCAAGAACGAAAGUUAGGGGAUCGAAGACGAUCAGAUACCGUCGUAGUCUUAACCAUAAACUAUGCCGACUAGGGAUCGGAUGAUGUUAAUUUUUUAAUGGCUCAUUCGGCGCCUUACGGGAAACCAAAGUGUUUGGGUUC
rnacentral:rRNA from 1 species